GGACCUGACUGCUAUCGGAUUGAUACUAAGCCAUGCGAGUCAUUGUAGCAAUACAAGGCAGACGGCUCAGUAACGCGUAGUCAACCUACCCUAUGGACGGGAAUAACCUCGGGAAACUGAGUAUAAUGCCCGAUAGAACAUUGUACCUGGAAUGGUUUAUGUUCCAAAUGAUUUAUCGCCGUAGGAUGGGACUGCGGCCUAUCAGUUUGUUGGUGAGGUAAUGGCCCACCAAGACUAUUACAGGUACGGGCUCUGAGAGGAGUGGCCCGGAGAUGGGUACUGAGACACGGACCCAGGCCCUAUGGGGCGCAGCAGGCGAGAAAACUUUGCAAUGUGCGAAAGCACGACAAGGUUAAUCCGAGUGGUUUCUGCUAAAGGAACCUUUUGUCAGUCCUAGAAACACUGAUGAAUAAGGGGUGGGCAAGUUCUGGUGU
rnacentral:rRNA from 1 species